CAAAAUGGCAUAUCUUUCUUAGUCUUCCUUCCUCCAAUGGAAUGGGCACAACAAGGUACUAAUACCACCAUUAAAAGGAAAAAAAAACUAAAAGAAGAUGUGCGAAUGUACAAGUUACAUCAUAAUUUAUGUUGUAUUUCUAACAAAUCUCAUAAAUCCGUCAAGGUUGGGAGGAGGUUGUGUUGGCGGUGGUGGAAAUGA
rnacentral:lncRNA from 1 species